AGAGAAGGAGUGAGACAGGCCUAACACAUGCAAGUCGAACGAACCUUUCGGGGUUAGUGGCGGACGGGUGAGUAACACGUGGGAACGUGCCUUUAGGUUCGGAAUAACUCAGGGAAACUUGUGCUAAUACCGAAUGUGCCCUUCGGGGGAAAGAUUUAUCGCCUUUAGAGCGGCCCGCGUCUGAUUAGCUAGUUGGUUGAGGUAAUGGCUCACCAAGGCGACGAUCAGUAGCUGGUCUGAGAGGAUGAUCAGCCACAUUGGGACUGAGACACGGCCCAAACUCCUACGGGAGGCAGCAGUGGGGAAUCUUGCGCAAUGGGCGAAAGCCUGACGCAGCCAUGCCGCGUGAAUGAUGAAGGUCUUAGGAUUGUAAAAUUCUUUCACCGGGGACGAUAAUGACGGUACCCGGAGAAGAAGCCCCGGCUAACUUCGUG
rnacentral:rRNA from 1 species